rnacentral:rRNA from 1 species
AGCGUGGAGACAGGUGGUGCAUGGCUGUCGUCAGCUCGUGUCGUGAGAUGUUGGGUUAAGUCCCGCAACGAGCGCAACCCUCACCCCUUGUUGCCAUCAGGUCACGCUGGGCACUCUAGGGGAACUGCCCCGGUCAACGGGGAGGAAGGUGGGGAUGACGUCAAGUCAUCAUGCCCCUUACGUCCUGGGCUACACACGUGCUACAAUGGCCGGUACAAAGGGAUGCAAGACUGCGAGGUGGAGCUAAACCCAAAAAGCCGGCCUAAGUUCAGAUUGGAGUCUGCAACUCGACUCCAUGAAGGAGGAAUCGCUAGUAAUCGCGCAUCAGCACGGCGCGGUGAAUACGUUCCCGGGCCUUGUACACACCGCCCGUCACACCACGAAAGCCAGCUGUACUCGAAGUCGCUGAG